rnacentral:rRNA from 1 species
UACGAGUGGUGCAAGCGUUAUUCGGAAUUAUUGGGCGUAAAGGGUGCGUAGGCGGCGCGGUAAGUCGGGUGUGAAAUCUUGGAGCUUAACUCCGAAACUGCAUUCGAUACUGCCGUGCUUGAGGACUGGAGAGGAGACUGGAAUUUACGGUGUAGCGGUGAAAUGCGUAGAUAUCGUAAGGAAGACCAGUGGCGAAGGCGGGUCUCUGGACAGUUCCUGACGCUGAGGCACGAAGGUCAGGGGAGCAAACGGG